rnacentral:ribozyme from 1 species
UGCUCAGCAACUCCUAUCCCUAUCUCCUCGCGGUACUGGCCGGGGUACGAGUAACCUUAGGGAAGAUCGGGUAACCAACCCCCGGUGGGAACUUUGGUCGUAUGCUGACAGGGAAGG